rnacentral:piRNA from 1 species
UUGCCAUCUUCCUCUAUUAAU